GAGUAGAGGAGCAUCUGGAUCACCUCCCACCCGUGUUUAUUUUACCUUGUUGCUUCGGCGGGCCCGCCUUAACUGGCCGCCGGGGGGCUCACGCCCCCGGGCCCGCGCCCGCCGAAGACACCCUCGAACUCUGUCUGAAGAUUGAAGUCUGAGUGAAAAUAUAAAUUAUUUAAAACUUUCAACAACGGAUCUCUUGGUUCCGGCAUCGAUGAAGAACGCAGCGAAAUGCGAUACGUAAUGUGAAUUGCAAAUUCAGUGAAUCAUCGAGUCUUUGAACGCACAUUGCGCCCCCUGGUAUUCCGGGGGGCAUGCCUGUCCGAGCGUCAUUGCUGCCCUCAAGCCCGGCUUGUGUGUUGGGCCCCGUCCUCCGAUCUCCGGGGGACGGGCCCGAAAGGCAGCGGCGGCACCGCGUCCGGUCCUCGAGCGUAUGGGGCUUUGUCACCCGCUCUGUAGGCCCGGCCGGCGCCUGCCGAUCAACCCAAAUUUUUUAUCCAGGUUGACCUCGGAUCAGGUAGGGAUACCCGCUGAACUUAAGCAUAUCAAUAAGCGGAGGAAAAGAAACCAACAGGGAUUGCCCCAGUAACGGCGAGUGAAGCGGCAAGAGCUCAAAUUUGAAAGCUGGCUCCUUCGGGGUCCGCAUUGUAAUUUGCAGAGGAUGCUUCGGGAGCGGUCCCCAUCUAAGUGCCCUGGAACGGGACGUCAUAGAGGGUGAGAAUCCCGUAUGGGAUGGGGUGUCCGCGCCCGUGUGAAGCUCCUUCGACGAGUCGAGUUGUUUGGGAAUGCAGCUCUAAAUGGGUGGUAAAUUUCAUCUAAAGCUAAAUAUUGGCCGGAGACCGAUAGCGCACAAGUAGAGUGAUCGAAAGAUGAAAAGCACUUUGAAAAGAGAGUUAAAAAGCACGUGAAAUUGUUGAAAGGGAAGCGCUUGCGACCAGACUCGCUCGCGGGGUUCAGCCGGCAUUCGUGCCGGUGUAUUUCCCCGCGGGCGGGCCAGCGUCGGUUUGGGCGGUCGGUCAAAGGCCCUCGGAAGGUAACGCCCCCAGGGGCGUCUUAUAGCCGAGGGUGCAAUGCGACCUGCCUAGACC
rnacentral:rRNA from 1 species